CUACUUUUUCUCAUAUAAUCCUACUUUUUUAAGACAGCUUGGAGGAUCAGUAUGUUAUAGCUCUCGUAAUUAGAUCUAUAUAGGGCUCGUAAUUUUUAUUCCCUAUUUGUGUCACAGAUGAUAAGAUCUCAGGAGGAGAAGAAGUACAUUUUCUGAGUAUAUAAUUUCAUAGCAUCUCUAGAAUCAUAAUCAAUAAAUUAAUGAAGACUCUGAAAGUGCCAUUUCCGACGAUCUAGAGAUUCCAAGUAUUCAACUCCCCCCCCCCUCCCCCCUCAGUUAAUCAAGCAUCAUAUAUACAGGGCCGUAGCAACCGGGGGGGGGGGGCUGCAGCUCCCCAAUAAUUUGUUAAUAAUAAUUUUUUUCAAAAUCAUGCAGACCUUUAUCAUUUAAUCCAUGACAUGCAAACUGCAAAGAAUGAAGAUAUUACCCAUACUUUCCUGCAACUUAUCGAACACAUAGUUAAUUAAAUACGCCUUCGCCCAUUUAGCACUGCUACAUUGUAAAUUUCGACACACUAAAACGCUGUUUUCUGACCAUUAGAAGUCUGUCAAAUCUUCCCCAAAGUCCAGGAAAUGGCAUUUCAGAGACUCUAAAUUUAAAAAUUUCCUCGGACCUUCGGCCCUCGCUUUCAGCCCCCCACCCCCAAUCGAAACGAGCUUCCUACGGCCCUGAUAUACGCUCCUGCCGUAGUGUGGAUUGGUGCAUUGUGUAGCCCAUGGGAUACAUGUAUUUGAAUUGUGUUGCUGCAGAGCAGAACUGGAGCAGAAUGAGCAAAUGCCUUAGCUUUUAUACCGAUGCAAUUUAAAAGUUUUGAGAAAAAAAUCCUGCAUAGAUGAAUGAGUACAUAAAAAUAUUGAGCACCAAAAAUUCACACAACUUCCCAUCAGAUAUCUAAUGGUCUACCCCUUACCACAUAUAUCCUAGGGGGCCAAUUUUGUAUAUUUUUGUGUUAUUUGCAUCUCCAAAACUCCUACUUUUGUCCUACUUUUCUACACAUUUUCCUACUUUA